AUGCAAGUCGAACGGUAACAGGAAGCAGCUUGCUGCUUUGCUGACGAGUGGCGGACGGGUGAGUAAUGUCUGGGGAUCUGCCUGAUGGAGGGGGAUAACUACUGGAAACGGUAGCUAAUACCGCAUAACGUCGCAAGACCAAAGAGGGGGACCUUCGGGCCUCUUGCCAUCAGAUGAACCCAGAUGGGAUUAGCUAGUAGGUGGGGUAACGGCUCACCUAGGCGACGAUCCCUAGCUGGUCUGAGAGGAUGACCAGCCACACUGGAACUGAGACACGGUCCAGACUCCUACGGGAGGCAGCAGUGGGGAAUAUUGCACAAUGGGCGCAAGCCUGAUGCAGCCAUGCCGCGUGUAUGAAGAAGGCCUUCGGGUUGUAAAGUACUUUCAGCGAGGAGGAAGGUGGUGAGCUUAAUACGCUCAUCAAUUGACGUUACUCGCAGAAGAAGCACCGGCUAACUCCGUGCCAGCAGCCGCGGUAAUACGGAGGGUGCAAGCGUUAAUCGGAAUUACUGGGCGUAAAGCGCACGCAGGCGGUCUGUCAAGUCGGAUGUGAAAUCCCCGGGCUCAACCUGGGAACUGCAUCCGAAACUGGCAGGCUUGAGUC
rnacentral:rRNA from 1 species